CGAAUUAAUUUUGGACGAUUCUUCUUCUCCUUUAAACUUUCUUCCUUCAUUCGUGCCUCCUUCUUCUGAUCUCAUCUUCUCGAUCUCUCUAAUUAAUUUCGUUCCUCCUCCUUCUUUCAACUUUCAUUCGCAGAACGCGUGACCUAAUUAAUUUUAACCUCAUCUUCUUUCAUAACUCUCCGUCUUUCGACCUCAUCUUCUCUGUUCUCUUCAAUCUUCAACUAACACUUUCGUUCCAAGCUCCAUCUGGUUAAGCUAAUAUUUAAGGGGUUUUUCAAUCUCUCGAAAUCCUCAAGCUCUACCUAUCAUGAAAUAAUAAGGUAGAGCGUAGCAUAAGUUGAUGAGGAGGACUCUUUUGGAUGAUCAAUCCGUCUUCAUUUGUUAAAGGAACAACUGGAGAUAUCAACACAAAGAUUGGAAGAACUUAGAAAAGAUCUUUGUUUCCUUGAUUAUUUUUUGUUCCAUGUAGAAGAGAAAGACUCGUUUAGAAAUGGUCGAUAAAGUUUCUAGAAAAAUAUAUGUGCAUAUAGGUCCCAAAAUAAAUACAUGUUGAGUUUUAUGGAGGUUCUGCAACUUAUUUUGGAUCAUUCUUUUAGAUAUCAUGAUUGCACUUGAAUUUAAAGCCUUAGAGUGUUUCCUUUUCGGGUUUCUCAAAUAGAGGAGAGGUCGGAGAGAGAAAGAAAAACUUAUGGUUGAGUUGCAAAAGAAAGCCAAGAAACUGAAUCUCUUACCAUUGAUCGCGCUGGAUUGGUGACAUUGAAGUUUGGGUUAAAGAACCUUUAUCUUUUUUAAGCUCCUAGUUAAGGAAAAAGUGGAAGUUUACGAUAUAAUUAGCAAACCAAACUUCAAUUUGAGAGUUGUGCUUAUGUAGACGAUCAAUGACUUUCCUGCUUAUGGAAAUCUUGCUGGGUGUAAAACAAAGGCAAGACGACAUGUCCAAAUUGUGGGGAGCACACACAUUCUCAAUGGUUGUACCAUAGUAAGAAAAUAGUGUAUAUGGGUCAUAGACGUUUUUUACCUUCAUCUCAUUCGUAUAGAAGAAAGAAGUCAUGGUUUACAUUAUCUACUAGAAAGAAAAUUACGUUAUCUGAUGAAGUGUUCAACCUUGCACGUUAAUAUGUCUUGUUCAACACUGAAGUAGUUGAACCAUACAUAGAGUAAGUGAUGUAUCAAUUGUACACCAUUUAUCAUCUUUUGAAGAUUAUGUUCGAAUUUUAAUCAGUGAUACAUCAAAUAUUUUAGAAUGCAUAGGAAAGAAUUUAUCCUAUCAAAUAAAAGAUUUGCAAAAAUAUUGACACUCAACUAAUGAAGGUUCACUUAGAAUAAUUUCCUAUUUGGUUGAAAGAGAAGGUAAUGUUUUGCUUACUUAUGGCAAUGGUCUCAAUCAUGAAUUCAUCUAACUAUAUACCUUUUAAUUGGAACAAAUUUCAUUAGAUGUCAAUAACAUAAAAGACUCAGAUAUAUUGAAAAGGCUUGCAAAUAGACCACGCAAGGCAACAAUGUCAUUUUCAGGUUAUAUUAUCAAUGGCCAACGGUUACAUAUUAAAGAUCGACUCAAAAUAGUGGUGUUUCAAUUGAUGCAAGUACAAUAUGUAGGUCAAGUGCUGGAGAUGGAUCUCCAAAUAUUGAUGUGGUUACAUAUUAUGGAAUCCUAACUAAAAUAAUUUUAUUAGAUUACUAUGUCUACUGGCUUCCAUUGUUUAAGAGUGAUUGGGCUAAAAUCCAUAAUGGUAUUAAAGUUAACGAUGGAUUUACACUUGUUAAUCUGCAUCAAAACCAAAGUCUAUUCUCACGUGAGCCAUACAUUCUUGCAUCACAAGCUAAUCAAGUUUUUUAUGCAAGAGAAAAUGACAAUUCUCCUUGGUAUGUUAUAUUGAAAGCAUCACUGAGAGGAUUUCAUGAAUUAGACAAAUAUGAUGAGAAUGUUGAUACAAGCUUUAUGGGUGACAGAUCCUCCCUAGCACUUGAUGAUAUUGAUGAUAAGUUUGAAUAUCACAACAAUUCACGGGACGAUUGUGAAGGCAUCUUAUUAUGAUAACUUAUGACUUACGAUCAUUUUGUAAAUUUGCACUAACAUGUCACUUGUGGCCUUUUUAUGAAUUUCCACUCAUAUAGAGUUAGUGGUCAUUUUGUAAAUUUACAUUCAUAGUGCAUACAUAGGGACACUUGUAUAAUAUUAGUUUGUUUCUUUUUCUUUUCUUUUCUUUUUUUUUUUUGUGAAUAGUGCUAGCCAUUCAGUUUUUAAAUAUGCACAGAAAAUUGGUAGGUGGUGUGCAUUGUGAAUCAUUUCAAUUUGUAACACUCUACAGAUAUUUUACAUGUAUAAUCAAUAUAUAUAAGUGUUCUCUUUAUUCUCACUUGUUAUGCUCUACAAAUAUUCUACUCUUAAACCAUCGCUAUGCAAGCUAGUGCUUGUUUUUUUUCUCAAGUUGUGUAAACUAUUUAAGUCAAGGAGUUUCAACCAUUGACUAAGACAUGAAGUCAAAUAUGCAUGAUUUUGAUAAAGAACAAAGUGGACUAAUCGUUGGUAAGAAAUCGAAAAGGCUUUGUUCUACAACACAUACACUAGAACGGCGAUGAUCUGAUCGAACCUUUGUUAAAACAUCAUGGAAAUUUGCAAAGUCAUUCAGUAUGGACUAAACUCAACCUGGUAACGAUGAUGAAGAGAAUGAGGGAGAAGCUCUUCAUUUAAGAGAGAGAGAGAGAGAUUAGGGAAACAUCACUUCUCCAUGACCCACUUCACCAUAGUAACGUAGAUUGUGAGGAAGCUACUACUCCACUUCCAUCUUCACAUGUCAAUGCAAUCAUUCAUCCCUAGUCUAAAAGACCACAAAAUAGGCCGUUAGACUCACCUGUUGGUCGUACUAGAUCAGUAGUUCGUAAAUUACUCAUUGAAGAGGUUCAAUCUCAGUUGGAGGAAAAUGAAAAUGUGAAUUGUGAGAAAGUUCAUACCAAGGAACUAAGUCCCAAAAAGACUAGAGGUCAGAUGAAGAUGCAAACAAUAGCGAUGGAGCCUGAAAUGAAACUAGAUAUAAGGUAUAACGUAUAUGGACUGUGGAGAGCAAGCAAAUCUUACCUAAAAUUUGGGGACGCCUCAAAUGACGAGGAGUUGAAUAAACUCAAGCGAACUAACAUUUCUUCAAUGCAUGAUUGGAAUGACUUUGUCAAACAUAAAACCAGCACAACCUUGAAGUGUAGAAAAAUUCUUCUUCUUCAACUCCGCUUACCCGAGUAGAUGUUUAGACGAAGGCACAUGUGAAGAAAGAUGGAACACUUAUCAACUCACAAGUGGCCGACACUCUGGUUGGUUUAUCUUUUGUAUUUUUUAUUUUAUGUUUUCAUUUUUUUAUAGUUGUUGCCAUUUGUUAGGUUGUUGUCAUUUUUAUAGUGGCUACCAUUUUUUAUAGUUGCUACCAUUUUUUAUAAUUAUUGCCAUUUUUUAUGUAUCAAUCUCUUGUUAGGUUGCUACCCAUUAGGUAGUGAGAUUUAGUUGAAGUAGGUUUUAAGUGUUGUGACUUUCUCUAAUGGCUUCUAUCCCCCCCCCCCCCCCAAUUGAUCUUUUUUAUAUGUCGCAUGCUUUAUUUACUGUUUAAUUUGUCGUUUGAGUAAUGCCAUUUGAGUAUUGAUUUCUUUAACUAAAUGACUUGUUUGAUGAACUAUGUUUAGAUGCCACUUGUUUCGAUCUCUUGUUAGGUUCCUGCCCAUUGAGUAGUGAGAUUUAGUUGAAGUAGGUUUUAAAUGUUGUGACUUUCUCUAAUGCCUUCUCUCUCCCCCCCCCCCUCCCUCCAAUGAUCUUUUUUAUGUCCCAUGCUUUGUUUACUGAGUAUUGAUUUGUAGUUGGAUUGUUGCCUUCAACUAAAUGACAUGUUGUGACUGUCUCAUGUCACCCACCAUGACUUUUGAAUAGCUAGUAUGAUUUUUGGUUAGAAGCGUAUUGAACAAAAUUGUGUGGCUUCUUGGAGUAGUAUAAUUGAUCAAUUAGUAGAGUUUUCAGUCCCGAUCAAGGCUAUGGUAAGAGGAUUAGGAUUUGGUGUGGCUCUAUCGAAGGCGUCUACAUCAAUUGACAAUGAUAAAACCAUUGCAUCUCUUGAAAGAAAAUGUAUCAACCUAACGUCAUAUGUAGAUGGGCUGAAAAGUGUGGUGGCUUCCUUACUAAAGAACAAGGUAAAUUUGUCUUAACACUCUUAAAAGUUCAUAAACUAUGUUUUACACAUUUUGACAUUGUUGUUUAUAUAGGAAAAAAAUAAGUGAUGACAAUUGUAAUAAUCCUGUUAGAAGAGUACCAUUAUCGACACAUAUUCCUUUUCCGACUCCUACUCCAAUCAUAAAUUUCCCAUCGGUAAAUUCAUUUGUAACAUUUUUGUUCCUUUGUUAUUUUAAAUUAUUAUUGUUUGAGAUUUUUCUAACCAUAUUAUUGUUGAAAAAGAGUGUUACUACUAACACUCCCCGUAAGUGCUUGCUAAUAGAUUGGGUUGGUUUAGUCAAUCAUUGCUAAAGGUAGAUGGUCUUCCAAUGAUCCAUCAAUUCUUAUCCAUUAUGUACCUCUUGGAUCCAACGUAGUUCAUGUGUGGGUUGAUACGGUGAAAAUACCCAAUUCCUUCUUAUGGCGGCCUACCUCUGACAUUAUUGUUAUUGAUGAUGCUCUGGGCACUACUAUAGAAUGACCGAUGGAUAAAGUCAAACUAUGUGAUUGAUGUGUGGAGAAAACAUUGGAGCAACACAUAUAUGUGGGAUAAUUUAACCGCUACAAUUUAAACAUCUUUUUCAAUCCUAUCAAAAUUUUGGGACUUUGGAACUUAGUUUUGAUGAUAUGAAGUCAUUUUAUCUGAACUAAGAAUUUACUUGUUCUAAUAGUUAAGGACGUUGAAACUUAGCGUCGAUGAUUAUUUCAAACUUAACCUUUGAAUGAAUAUAAUGUUUUUUUUUUGUA